UACGAAGGGUGCAAGCGUUGUUCGGAAUUACUGGGCGUAAAGGGUUCGUAGGCGGGAGGAUAAGUUGAGUGUGAAAACCCCGGGCUCAACCUGGGACGUGCAUUCAAAACUGUUCUUCUUGAGUGUCGAAGAGGGUCAUGGAAUUGCUGGUGUAGGAGUGAAAUCCGUAGAGAUCAGCAGGAACACCUGAGGCGAAAGCGAUGACCUGGUCGAACACUGACGCUGAGGAACGAAAGCGUGGGGAGCAAACAGG
rnacentral:rRNA from 1 species